AGUGGGGUGGCUGAGAUAAAUGAGUAGGCGAUAGGCUGUAAAUCUAUUUAGGAGCAUAAACGUUGCUCUUCCACUA
rnacentral:tRNA from 1 species